AUGCCCUAUACAAUUACUUCUGACAAAGACAAAAUAUUUACAAGUCACUUCUGGAAAGAGCUGUUCAGGUUGUGGGGCACCAAACUACAAAUGUCCACUGCCUACCACCCCCAAACUGAUGGGCAAACCGAGAGGGUUAACCAGUGUUUAGAGAUGUAUUUGAGAUGUGCUGUUUCUGAACACCCAAAGCAAUGGUCUCAGUGGCUCCCCCUUGCCGAAUUCUGGUACAAUUCAUCUUACCACUCGUCUCUGGGCUGCACUCCUUUCAAGGCUGUUUAUGGCCAUGAACCAAAUUUGGGGCAGUUACCUCAACCCUUGCAAGCCACACAUCCUGAUCUGCACGGUUGGCUGCAAGAGAGACAUCACUAUUCUGAGUUCCUCCAUCAACACUUGAACAGAGCCCAAACAAAAAUGAAGUCUGACGCGGAUAAGAAGAGGUCUCCCAGGGAAUUUACAGUAGGAGAAAAAGUAUUUCUGAAGCUGCAACCAUACGCUCAAGCAUCCGUGGUCAAUCGACCUUAUCCAAAACUAGCAAUGAAGUUCUUCGGGCCUUUUGAAAUACUGGAAAAGAUUGGACCCGCUGCUUAUAAACUGCUCCUCCCUUCAGGCAGCCUAGUGCAUCCAGUGUUCCACACAUCUCAACUGAAACCUCAUGUGCCAGACCAUACUCCAGUGUACAGUACUCUUCCUGAACCACCACUACUUGAUCGAGCCGAUUUGGUGACUGAAGAAAUUCUGGACAGGCGUUUGGUUAAGAAAGGUAAUGCUUCUCUAGCUCAGGUACUCAUUCGUUGGACUGGUCUUCCCGCUUCUUCGGCCACUUGGGAGGACUAUGACACAGUGAGGCAGCGAUUUCCACUGGCUCCAGCUUGGGGACAAGCUGUUUCUUCAGGCGGGGGUACUGUCAGCGCGAGUGAGCUGCCAGGCGAUUAA
rnacentral:rRNA from 1 species